rnacentral:rRNA from 1 species
AUUGAACGCUGGCGGCAGGCCUAACACAUGCAAGUCGAACGAGUGGCGGACGGGUGAGUAAUGUCUGGGAAACUGCCCGAUGGAGGGGGAUAACUACUGGAAACGGUAGCUAAUACCGCAUACCAUCGGAUGUGCCCAGAUGGGCUUAGCUUGUAGGUGGGGUAACGGCUCACCUAGGCGACGAUCCCUAGCUGGUCUGAGAGUAUGACCAGGUAAAGUGGAACUGAGACAAGUGGCAUGAUCCGACGGGGGAACGCAGUGGGGAAUAUUGCACAAUGGGCGCAAGACUGAUGCAGCCAUGCCGGGUGUAUGAAGAAGGCCUUCGGGUUUAAAAGUACUGUCAGCGGGGAGGCGUUACCCGCAGAAGAAGCACCGGCUAACUACGUGCCAGCAGCCGCGGUAAGAC